UCCCAUGUGGCUCUGUUGGUAGAGCAUGGUGUUUGCAACGCCAGGGUUGUGGGUUCGAUUUCCACGGGGGAC
rnacentral:tRNA from 1 species